rnacentral:rRNA from 1 species
UUGCUUCUUAAUUAGACGCUAGAAUGAAAGGGGCGACGAAAUCUAGGCUAUCAAAAUUUUAAAAUAAAUUGACAACCAGGUCAAAAGGCCUGAAUGCAGCAGGGGGACGACAAGACCCUAUAAAACUUUACCUUUUGCCCAGUAGCGGGCAGGGCGCUGUCUGGCGCAAUGGUUUUACUGGGGCGGUAUGCGUAAAAACAACUUUAAGUUUAAUAUACUAAAUAAAGCGUAAUAACUCUUAUAGAAAUAGAAUAAGUUACUUUAGGGAUAACAGCGUAAUUGCCCCCGAGAGUUCUUAUUGGCGGGGUAGUUUACGACCUCGAUGUUGAAUUGGGACACCUUGUGUGUGCAGCUGAACACAAAGACAGUCUGUUCGACUGUUAAACUCCC